rnacentral:rRNA from 1 species
GACGAACGCUGGCGGCGCGCUUAAAACAUGCAAGUCGAACGUGAAGCUCGGAGCUUGCUCCGGGUGGAAAGUGGCGAACGGGUGAGGAACACGUGAGGAACCUGCCCCGAAGACCGGGACAAGCCGAGGAAACUUGGUCUAAUACCGGAUGCCCUCACCGGACCGCAUGAUCCGGUGAGGAAAUGGAUUCCGCUUCGGGAUGGUCUCGCGCACUAUCAGCUUGUUGGUGAGGUAAUGGCUCACCAAGGCUACGACGGUUAGCUGGUCUGAGAGGAUGUCCAGCCACACUGGGACUGAGACACGGCCCAGACUCCUACGGGAGGCAG